rnacentral:tRNA from 3 species
GCCGGGGUGCUGGAAUUGGUAGACAGGCUGGUCUCAAAAACCAGUUCCGUUUUGACGGAGUGAGGGUUCGAUUCCCUCUCCCGGCA